UUUUUUAAUUGAAAACUUGAAUGAAAGGUAAUUACUAAAGGGAAGGUUUUAUUUAGUUAAUUUGAAUUUAAAUUAAAAUUAAAAAUGAUUUUAUGAAUUUUUGGGACAAGAAGACCCUAGAAGCUUAAAUUAGAAAGAAUUUUGGUUGGGGUAACAUUUGAAGAAAAAGAUUUUUGAAAAUGUAUUAUAAAUUAAUUAAUUAUUGUAGUUACUCUAGGGAUAACAGCGUCAUCUAAUUAACAAGUUCUUAUUAAUAAUUAGGUUUGCGACCUCGAUGUUGAAUUAAAUUUUAUUUUUGGUGAAGAAGUCAAAAGGGGUAGUCUGUUCGACUAUUAAAAAUUUACGUGAUCUGA
rnacentral:rRNA from 1 species